CGAAUACGUUCCCGGGCCUUGUAACACACCGCCCGUCACACCAUGGGAGUUGGUUUUACCCGAAGCCCGGUGCGGCCAACCCGUAAGGGGGUACGCCGACCACGGUAAGUCCAGCGACUGGGGUG
rnacentral:rRNA from 1 species